rnacentral:rRNA from 1 species
AUUGAACGCUGGCGGCAGGCUUAACACAUGCAAGUCGAGCGGUGUGAUGGUGCUUGCACUAUCACUUAGCGGCGGACGGGUGAGUAAUGCUUAGGAAUCUGCCUAUUAGUGGGGGACAACAUCUCGAAAGGGAUGCUAAUACCGCAUGCGUCCUACGGGAGAAAGCAGGGGAUCACUUGUGACCUUGCGCUAAUAGAUGAGCCUAAGUCGGAUUAGCUAGUUGGUGGGGUAAAGGCCUACCAAGGCGACGAUCUGUAGCGGGUCUGAGAGGAUGAUCCGCCACACUGGGACUGAGACACGGACCAGACUCCUACGGGAGGCAGCAGUGGGGAAUAUUGGACAAUGGGGGGAACCCUGAUCCAGCCAUGCCGCGUGUGUGAAGAAGGCCUUUUGGUUGUAAAGCACUUUAAGCGAGGAGGAGGCUACUUAGAUUAAUACUCUGGGAUAGUGGACGUUACUCGCAGAAUAAGCACCGGCUAACUCUGUGCCAGCCGCCGCCGUAA